UGGGGAAUAUUGCACAAUGGCCGCAAGCCUGAUGCAGCCAUGCCGCGUGUAUGAAGAAGGCCUUCUGGUUGUAAAGUACUUUCAGCGGGGAGGAAGGGAGUAAAGUUAAUACCUUUGCUCAUUGACGUUACCCGCAGAAGAAGCACCGGCUAACUCCGUGCCAGCAGCCGCGGUAAUACGGAGGGUGCAAGCGUUAACCGGAAUUACUGGGCGUACAGCGCACGCAGGCGGUUGGUUAAGUCAGAUGUGAAAUCCUCGGGCUCAACCUGGGAAGUGCUUCAGAUGGUGGCAAGCUUGAAUCGCGUAGAGGGGGGUAGAAUUCCAGGUGUAGCGGUGAAAUGCGUAGAGAUCUGGAGGAAUACCGGUGGCGAAGGCGGCCCCCUGGACGAAGACUGACGCUCAGGUGCGAAGGCGUGGGGAGCAAACAGG
rnacentral:rRNA from 1 species